rnacentral:rRNA from 1 species
CUACGGAGGGUGCGAGCGUUAAUCGGAAUUACUGGGCGUAAAGCGUACGUAGGCGGUUUGCUAAGUCAGAUGUGAAAGCCCCGGGCUUAACCUGGGAACUGCAUUUGAUACUGGCAGACUAGAGUAUGAUAGAGGGGGGUAGAAUUCCUGGUGUAGCGGUGAAAUGCGUAGAUAUCAGGAGGAAUACCGGUGGCGAAGGCGGCCCCCUGGAUCAAUACUGACGCUGAGGUACGAAAGCGUGGGGAGCGAACAGGAUUAGAUACCCUAGUAGUCC